rnacentral:pre_miRNA from 7 species
UUUCAGAGUCUGUAAAGAGUGUAUUUAAAUUUUGAUAGGAAUUGCAAUUGAAAGAACCUAGUGGGGAACCCCCCACUCAAUUCCCCAUUCAGCGUGCACCCAAAGAAUCACGAACAGACCG